rnacentral:rRNA from 1 species
CGUGCCCUGGAGUGGGGGAUAACUAGUCGAAAGAUUAGCUAAUACCGCAUACGAUCUAUGGAUGAAAGUGGGGGAUCGCAAGACCUCAUGCUCGUGGAGCGGCCGAUAUCUGAUUAGCUAGUUGGUGGGGUAAAGGCCUACCAAGGCAUCGAUCAGUAGCUGGUCUGAGAGGACGACCAGCCACACUGGGACUGAGACACGGCCCAG